UUUCAGGUGUGAAGAAGUGAGUCAUUCCAUAUCAAACACCUGCAGUAUAAAUUAGUUAACCUCACUACGUACCGGACGAGACCCCCAUUCAUCUGCAUACAUUCAGCUGGAAUCAUUUGACGCGGAAAAAACACGAUGCUCUCGAUCUCCCGAUCCUGCCUCAGAGGAAUCUACAGCUGUCAUUGGAACAGUCAAAAUAGAAGACCAAACGUGGGAUUUUAUUCUUUACACUUUGCAUUUUUAAUCACAUUUUUCCACAUUGGAAAAUGAAGUUGCACAUCAAUGAUGUACCCGUUAUCUCUUAGAAUCUGCAGACACAAUCAGUUGAGAGAGGCAGACUAGUUUACCAUGUCUAAUAAAUGUAGAAAAGAAUCAAAGAAAAUUGUUGUAAUUGAAUGCCUCCUUAAUGAACAAUUAUCAUGUAAAUGCUCUUUCCUUUUAAGUGAGUACAAAGCUGUGAAGACUGAUGAUCAUGACAGGCAGAAAAGUAUGUUAAUUAGUAGCCUGAAUACAAAAGCAAGGCUCUGAAUUCUUUUGAUUUGUGUCAGAAACCAUUACCGCUGCAUUCAGAGAUUUCGUAAACCCUGUGUGGGAUGGACUCGUAAUAAUCGUAAUAAUUAUAGUAACCACUCAGAUUGGAGAUUGGCCUCACUUUUGAAUAUUCGGAUCAGUAGGCGAAACUCAACAUGAGAAGGCCAUGGCUGUGUGCCAAUCCCCCCCCCACACACACACACAAUUAACCCAUUUGUGGUUAACCUAUGACUUUAAAUCCUCACACGCACAAAGGUGGAGCAGUGAGGGAAAGUUAUGAAUACACUUUUUCUUCUUUUUAGUGCUGAUGCAUUUGUUAGUGUCAGUAAAUAUGACAAAGAGAAGACCUGACUGAAAAAGAAGAAAGAUGUUUGAAGUGUGCAUUCUUGCUUUGUUUAUAUAUAGAGGGCUUGCUGCUGGCUCUCCUUUCUGUCUUUUGUGUCCAUACUUGCCCUGAUUUGGAUGUACGUUUGUUUAAUUGCCUUCAACGACCACAAUGAUGUAAACGGGCAUGCCUUCAAAACAUUAAAAAAAUGGGUGAACUGGUACAUGAUAGUGAUGGUCGUUUCUGCCGUGCUGGCCACAUACUGCCUCCUUCUACUGGUAAGAAGAGAGAAUGUGAUCCAGCUGGUUGUAUGGCUGGUAGCAUGUAAUGGUU
rnacentral:lncRNA from 1 species